AUGAACGCUGGCGGUAUGCUUAACACAUGCAAGUCGAACGGUACCUUCGGGUAUAGUGGCGGACGGGUGAGUAACGCGUGAGAAUCUAUCUUCAGGUCGGGGACAACAGUUAGAAAUGACUGCUAAUACCGGAUGUGCCGAAAGGUAAAAGAUUUAUUGCCUGAAAAAGAGCUCGCGUCAGAUUAGCUAGUAGGUGGUGUAAGAGACUACCUAGGCUUCGAUCUGUAGCUGGUCUGAGAGGACGAUCAGCCACACUGGAACUGAGACACGGUCCAGACUCCUACGGGAGGCAGCAGUGGGGAAUUUUCCGCAAUGGGCGAAAGCCUGACGGAGCAAUACCGCGUGAGGGACGAAGGCUCUUGGGUCGUAAACCUCUUUUCUCAAGGAAGAUUCAGACGGUACUUGAGGAAUAAGCAUCGGCUAACUCUGUG
rnacentral:rRNA from 1 species